CACGGAGUUAGCCGAUGCUUUUUCUUCGGAUACACGCAGUCCGGGACACGUCCCGGGUUUUGUUCUCCGACAAAAGAGGUUUACAACCCAUAGGGCCGUCUUCCCUCACGCGGUUUGGCUGGUUCAGGAUCUCUCCCAUUGACCAAUAUUCCUCACUGCUGCCUCCCGUAGGAGUCUGGUCCGUGUCUCAGUACCAGUGUGGGGGACCUUCCUCUCAGAACCCCUACGCAUCGUCGCCACGGUGGGCCGUUACCCCGCCGUCAAGCUAAUGCGCCGCAUGCCCAUCCUCUUCCGAUGAAUCUUUCCUCGAUCUCGGAUGCCCGAAACCGAUAUACGCGGGAUUAGCCUCCCUUUCGGAAGGUUGUCCCCCUGAAGAGGGCAGGUUGCAUACGUGUUACUCACCCGUGCGCCGGUCGCCGGCAAGGAAAGCAAGCUUCCCUCCCGAUGCCCCUCGACUUGCAUGUGUUAAGCCUGCCGCUAGCGUUCAUCCUGAGCCAGGAUCAAACUCU
rnacentral:rRNA from 1 species